GGCCGACUAGCUCAGCUGGUUAGAGCGUCGUGCUAAUAAUCGCAAGUUAUUAACGCGAAGGUCUUGGGUUCGAUCCCCACGUUGGCCA